CUUUGUUGACAUAUCCAGUAUAGGAGUGCUCCUGGGAGCCCAUCUCUCAUCUCUGAAAAGUAACUUUGUAAGUUACAACUGUUCAUCAGGCAUUCCCAGGAACACCAGGUAAAUGCAGCUGGUAACUUGCUAAGUUUGGAAUUCCACUUGGCCUGCAAUCUCUUUGCACUCUUUCUUCUGGGACUGCAUUGGUGUGCCACCUAUUACCUCUUUGGAGUUGGCUUUUUUUGGACUCUUUUCUACUUAGAAGCAUCGUUGACUGGGGGAACAAUGCAGGGCUCCGAAUGGGGCAUGGGUGUGGGCUUCUAGCUCACCCUGGUGCUAGCAGAGCCUGUGUCAUGGUGUUAGGCUAAGUGAACUGGAACAAUCAUGAUGGCGUAACUGAUUCAAGAACGCAGUUGCCUGACCAGGAAUUGAUCCUGUGCCCUCUGCAGUGGAAGUAUAGAGACUCAACA